ACUGCACCCUUCCAAUCUCGAGUUUAAGUCGCUCUCUGUUACCAUGGGAACGGAACACGCAUCUCUACCACUUCUCUGUUGUUUCGGGCAUUCUAUACCUUGGACCCUUAGCUUCCAGUUCCCAGCCAAAGGAGGAGAGGGGAGAGGGAGAGGGAGGGAAGGGAGUCUGGCUUCUAAGGUGAAAAGAUGGUAGGAGUGCCUCCCAGGGCAUCCCGUGUGGACUCACCUGCGCUGGAACCCAGGACCAACAUCUCUAAGCCCCUGGGUGUCACCAUCAGCUCAUCGGCUCCGUUGAGUGCUAUCCAUGAGACAGAGAGUUGCCUUUGGGAACAUGCAUGGGCCUGAUCUGGAGUCAGGGGACAGAACCCCGGUGAAAUGUACUGAUCGUGACUCUAGAUGGACUCGCUGGUGUUGCAGGGUUUCUGUGACGCCUAAGCAGUCACUAGGACUGUGUGUUCCUGGCUAAUAGUGCCUCCUGGUGGCCUGGGCUAGACUCCUGGGAAGAGCUGAGAACAACAACAACACAAAAGAAACUGCUGGGAAAGUAAGGGGCACAGACCCACCGGGAAACCAGUAAACAGAGAACAGUCGGUGGCCGUUUCUGCCCCUCUCCGAGGCAAUGAGGAGACCCAGGCGAGGCUCAUAAAGGACAGUUGGCGUUGAUGACAGAACCUCAGGACUUCUAAAGGCUGAUAUGGGUGAAGAGACAUCUUGAGCUGCCAUCUCUUCCAUUAUAUAUUUUGAAUGUCUGCUUCUCUUACACUUGGAGAUUCUUCAAAAGAUUAUAAGAACCUCUUUGACCUGGGAAGGCUUCUUUGUAUAUCUUGGGGGUUCUAGACCCCCACUGGCCAUAAGGAAUUGUCCUGUAGGGUGGCAGAGGCCAGGGGUGUUUUCCUGACCCAGGACUAGAGGAACAGAUGAAGAAUCAAGUCAAUGUGUUGCUCUCCUGCUUCCACCAUGCAGACUACAUCUCAACAUGUGAAGGAAAAAAAAAUUCAGGGAGAUAUACUGUAGAGCAAAGGGGUGGGCAUGGGGGAGGGGAAAGAGGGACCAACAGCUG
rnacentral:lncRNA from 1 species